UUAUCAUAAAUUUUCAAGUAUUUUAAAAACACGUAAAGUGCUGUUUUCCGACUUUUGUAAUUCAGAUAACAUUCUGGAAUAGGACACACACACACACACACACACACACACACACACACCCCCAUAUCUCCCUAAAGCGACUGCAUUAAUUAGGAUCUUUAGGGAAUAGUCACACAGAUAACCUCAAGUAAUAUAAGUUUAUUGUAAGAUCAUGUUUCUCAAACUGAGGUGGCCAGAUUUCAAGGGAUUACAUGGCAUUAGCCAAAAAUUACAGGAACUAACUGAAACAAAAAAACAGGGCAUGUCUCUCUAAAUUAUCCAUUUUAAAUGAAUGAAACAUUUUUAAUAAAAAAUAAUACUGAUCUCUUAAGGAGGCAAAUGCACAUGGAAUUUUGAAGAUGAAAACAACGUGAGACUGCAGAGAAAUGUUGAGCUUGUGAUAAGCCUCUUGGGCUAUGUCCCAGACUGCUAGUAGUACUAAAACCUUCCCUUCUUUCAUUUAGUAGAAAAGUCAGAAAAGUGUCGUGUAAGAUUCACAUAGAAAUAAGGACAAUCACAAGAGCUGCACAAGAGUUGAUAUUGGAGACUGGAAUGCUACUCAAAGACCAGAAUUCCCCCAAACAUCCAAGAUGGUCCUGAGCAACUGAAUUAUCAACAUCAACUUAGCAGUAGAGUGCCGUUAGGUAACUCUGGGUCGGACACUUAACAAGCUGUUCAUAAUAUGUCGUGCUGGGCCUAAUGUUCAUCCCUUAGAAGAAAAGGCUGUAUCAGCUGGGACAAGUGAACAGCAGACAGAGUUAGGAAUUAGGAAGCUUGGGCUCUAACCUGCUUCUGUCACCGAAGCUUUGCAGGGCCCACAUAUGAGUCAUGUCCCCGCUUCGCAUCCUGUCUGCUCACUAGGCAUAACAGAGCUGACCUUCUUCCCAGCCCCGCCGUGAGGAUGAAAUCCUGUUGUGGAGCACUUUGAAAUCUUUGGAUGAAAAGCACGACAGAAGUGCCAAGUAUGAUUGUUACCCGUGCCAGCCACACUAGAAGACAGCAUAAAAAUAGGAAGCAAAGAAAAUUCCAUUUUACAAAAGCUUCAGUGAGAAAAUUGGCUGGUCAGAAUGUCAUUCCCUGGUUUUGGUUCACAUACACGUUGUCUUUUAUGAAAUUAAAAGAAAAACAUAAUUGUACACAUUUUUGUCUUUGCCAGGAAGAAGCCCUUUGAUCACCAUCCCUGUGCUGCCAGGUGCGUCACUGAUGCAGAAGGAAGAUCGAUACAUGAGGAGACCCUGUGGAAUGUAGUUGCUCCCCAAUUUCUGUUUUUCAUUGCAAGAAAUCGAAGCCAUAAAGUCUGAGGGAAUGUUACAGGUUGAGGAUUAGGGUGUCUAAACCUUGGCAUCGUCACAAUAUAGGAUCUGAGACACCUUCAGCUGAAACAGAGACUGUGCUUUCAGAACUGGCCCAGCACCAAACCUCUACUCCAAUGCUCUCAGAUCCUCCAUCCUGCCCUUAACAGGAGAACAUGAGAGUUGCAGAUUUAAAAACCUAACAGCGAACCUUUGCAACAACCUUUGUCAUAUUAGGAAUCCCAAAAUAAGGUGAGUCAUGCCCGUUAGUGUGUGCCUCCAUCCUAAAAAUGACUUAGCUGUAGUUUUAAUAGCUUAUAUCCAUCUUGGCAUAAUGCUGAUAGUUGUGAUGAGCUGUAAUCACCUCUCCUUAUAAAUUGGAUAGACUGUGGAAACAGUUCCAAACCACAGAAAAGACAUUUCAAACUCUGAGCUUGCUGCCUGAUAUGACACUCAGAGAUUAAGAAUAGGAGCUUUGGAUGCUGUUGCCAUGUCUUUACUGCCUGUCUUUUAUACUGGAGUUUUAAAAAGUCAAAACCCAACAGGGUGGUUUGGCUGCUGCACCCCACUGAGAAGCUGAGAAAGUAAAAGGUAAGGGGGUGUAGCCAUGGGCUUGUAAGGGGGACGUGAGUGACACAAGUCCACCCACAGCAACUGUUCCAUUAAGUUAUGAAUCAUAUUGUACUCGACUUGUAAUUUCCCCCCAGGAAGGGAAAGCUACUGAGCACUAUUGAAAUGUUUUGUUCAGAAAUUUCUCAGAGGGAGGGUCCUCACAGUGUUUUAUGGAAUAAUUUGCAUUCUAAUCGGCAUAAUUAGAUUAUUGCCAUAGAAUUCCCAUUGUAUGACUCCAGUAGAAAUACUUUCCAUUAAGAAACAAAUACUCUUUUGGGGGGAAAAAUGUCCAUCCACUGUAGUAUCCAGUCACAGGACAAUCUCUAUUUAUUCCUCUUCAUAACCCCAUGAGAAGGGUCAUCCUCACUGGAUUUUCAACUGUUUAACUGAAGAAAUUAGUUGAAAAGUGGAAAUACAACCUGGUGAUAGUUUCUUCAUCUGUCCACACCUAAUAAUGGCUUUGACUGAUUCUUCUAUUUACAUUGACAGAUUAUUUACACCUCUGUGAAUUAUACUGUUCCUAUGGUCUUUCUUUCCUUUAAUUUUUUUUGUGUGUGUGUGUAUGUGUGGUUAGAACUGUCUGUAGUCAGGCUAAAAUUCAGAUCCCAUCUUUAUAAUUCUUAUUUGUGUGAUAUGAAUUUCUCACAAUGGCAGGAUAGUGGAUUAUCAUGCAGCCUUGAAAUAUCACACCAAUUAAGACAGUGGAGAGCCAUAGGGAAAUGUGAAGUGGAAAAGAGUAUGAAAUUAUAUCUGCACCAUACUUUCCAAAUGCUUAAAUUGUGCAUAUAGAAGCAUGGGCUGAAAAGGAAACAUGGAAAAAAGCAACAGAUGGUUGGUUGAAAUGAAGGGAUUAUGAGAGUUCCCUCUCUACCUUUUUAUUAUUUUGUUUUUCAUUAACACUCUUACAACAUUGCUUGUGUAAUAAACAUGAUUGUAAAAUUA